GACGAACGCUGGCGGCGUGCUUAACACAUGCAAGUCGAACGGAAAGGCCCUGCUUUUGUGGGGUGCUCGUGUGGCGAACGGGUGAGUAACACGUGAGUAACCUGCCCUUGACUUUGGGAUAACUUCAGGAAACUGGGGCUAAUACCGGAUAGGAGCUCCUGCUGCAUGGUGUGGGUUGGAAAGUUUCGGCGGUUGGGGAUGGACUCGCGGCUUAUCAGCUUGUUGGUGGGGUAGUGGCUUACAAAGGCUUCGACGGGUAGCCGGCCUGAGAGGGUGAACGGCCACAUGGGGACUGAGAGACGGAGCAGAAUGCUACGGGAGGCAGCAGUGGGGAAUAUUGCACAAUGGGCGGAAGCCUGAUGCAGCAGCGUCGCGUGCGGAAUGACGGCCUUCGGGUUGUAAACAGCUUUCGCCUGUGACGAAGCGUUAGUGACGGUAAUGGGUAAAGAAGCACCGGCUAACUACGUG
rnacentral:rRNA from 1 species